rnacentral:ncRNA from 1 species
GUGAGCCGUGUAAUAGGCGACUAUUUCGCGCGGUUCGGGGGGCACUUGAAAUCUUGAAUAAGCCGUCAGCCCUC